UACGUAGGGUGCGAGCGUUAAUCGGAAUUACUGGGCGUAAAGCGUGCGCAGGCGGUUCGUUGUGUCUGUGGUGAAAGCCCCGGGCUUAACCUGGGAAUGGCCAUGGAAACUGGCGAGCUGGAGUGUGGCAGAGGGGGGUGGAAUUCCGCGUGUAGCAGUGAAAUGCGUAGAGAUCCGGAGGAACACCGAAGGCGAAGGCAGUGUCCUGGCUGGUGACUGACGCUGAGGUGCGAAAGCUAGGGGAGCGAACGGG
rnacentral:rRNA from 1 species